rnacentral:rRNA from 1 species
AUUGAACGCUGGCGGCAGGCCUAACACAUGCAAGUCGAGCGGAUGAAGGGAGCUUGCUCCUGGAUUCAGCGGCGGACGGGUGAGUAAUGCCUAGGAAUCUGCCUGGUAGUGGGGGAUAACGUCCGGAAACGGGCGCUAAUACCGCAUACGUCCUGAGGGAGAAAGUGGGUGAUCUUCGGACCUCACGCUAUCAUAUGAGCCUAGGUCGGAUUAGCUAGUUGGUGGGGUAAAGGCCUACCAAGGCGACGAUCCGUAACUGGUCUGAGAGGAUGAUCAGUCAAACUGGAACUGAGACACGGUCCAGACUCCUACGGGAGGCAGCAGUGGGGAAUAUUGGACAAUGGGCGAAAGCCUGAUACAGCCAUGCCGCGUGUGUGAAGAAGGUCUUCGGAUUGUAAAGCACCUUAAGUUGGGAGGAAGGGCAGUAAGUUAAUACCUUGCUGUUUUGACGUUAACAACAGAAUAAGCACCGGCUAACUUCGUG